rnacentral:rRNA from 1 species
UACGGAGGGGGCUAGCGUUGUUCGGAAUUACUGGGCGUAAAGCGCAUGUAGGCGGCUUGGUAAGUUAGAGGUGAAAGCCUGGAGCUCAACUCCAGAAUUGCCUUUAAGACUGCCGAGCUAGCAGGUGAGAGAGGUGAGUGGAAUUCCGAGUGUAGAGGUGAAAUUCGUAGAUAUUCGGAAGAACACCAGUGGCGAAGGCGGCUCACUGGCUCAUACUGGACGCUGAGGUGCGAAAGCGUGGGGAGCAAACAGG